AGAGAUGGAUUGGUGCCUUCGGGAACUUAGAUACAGGUGCUGCAUGGCUGCCGUCAGCUCGUGUCGUGAGAUGUUGGGUUAAGUCCCGCAACGAGCGCAACCCUUUUCCUUAUUUGCCAGCGGGUCAUGCCGGGAACUUUAAGGAUACUGCCAGUGACAAACUGGAGGAAGGCGGGGACGACGUCAAGUCAUCAUGGCCCUUACGGCCAGGGCUACACACGUGCUACAAUGGUCGGUACAAAGGGUUGCUACCUCGCGAGAGGAUGCUAAUCUCAAAAAGCCGAUCGUAGUCCGGAUCGCAGUCUGCAACUCGACUGCGUGAAGUCGGAAUCGCUAGUAAUCGCGGAUCAGAAUGCCGCGGUGAAUACGUUCCCGGGCCUUGUACACACCGCCCGUCACACCAUGGGAGUUUGUUGCACCAGAAGUAGGUAGUCUAACCGCAAGGAGGACGCUUACCACGGUGUGGCCGAUGACUGGGGUGAAGUCGUAACAAGGUAAGCGUAGAUGA
rnacentral:rRNA from 1 species